CUCAUGUAAAGGUACAAGAUCCCAAUGAUGAAUGUGACUGUAUUUUAUACCUAAAAUGUACCAAUAAACUUAAUGGGGGGGGCCCUGGGGUGGAGAUUUGCAAGGAUCGAGACCUGGGGUUAUGGCAAUGACCUAAAUCAAAUGUAAUAAGGAUCAAAGCCAAGGUCAUCGCCACCAAAACAGCAAGGAGACCAUGAAAGUGGGAGGGGUUAAGGAUAUAAAAGUUUGGGGACGUGAUAAGCAGUGGGUGUUGGGGCGAGAAGCAGUGCUGAGUUCAGCACCUCUGUGAGGUGAGGGCACAGGGGACAGGAGGACAUGUGCUGGUGAAAGGCUGUCCUUCCUGGGUGCCUCCUCCGACAGGCUGAGCUUCCUAACCAGAGCACACGCUCAGCACCAAGCUCUGUGAGUCCUUACACCUCUCCCCACCGAAUGCUUUCCAGAGCUGGUUUCCUUUUGUUUUUGCUCAUGUUCUCCAUUCUUGCUUCUCGGUGCAGGGCUUAAUGAUUAUAUCUGAACGCUGCAGGGACAAUGUAACAUUUACACAGUGUUUCUUCAUUUGAUUCCUCUAACAGUCUUACUGGGUGGAUGUGACUGUCUGAGGAGACAGAAGCUCAGGGAAGCAGUGUCUUGUGCAAGCAUGGACAGGUGAGAAACAGCAGAGCAAUUCCCAGGUCUGUGGAGGUCCUUUGAGAAGGGGCUAUGCUAUCCAGAUACACUGUCUGACUCUUGGAUCUUGAGGUUCCAAGAGCCCAGAUGCUGAGUUGGAGGCCUGAACCAGGUAUCCACUGCCACUGUAAGGCCUUGUGAUAACCAGUCACAAACCCUCCAUGCCACACUGAGGAAGCCACUCAGUCAGCCCCCUAUCUGCAAGUCCAGAUGCUCUGGGCCCUGCUGAGCUUGCUCCUGGGCCAUGGCCAGCUGCCUCCUCUCCUCGGCUCUGCUGACCUGGCCAGGGCACAGGUGCCCGGGCAGGAUGGCUUCCAGCUGGGCCCUGUCUUCCUUCUCACGGGGCAGCUGUGCUUCAGGGCGACGGCACAACAAGCAGGAACAUGCCAGUGCUUUUUCAGGUCUCUGCUUGCAUCUGUCUUUGCCAACAGUGCUUUGGCCAGGUUCCUGGCGAACCUUGAUCUUUAGAGAAAUUGGAAAGUCACAUGGCAAAGGGCAGGGAAGGAGAGGGGAUCGCCCUGCCUCCAAGUGGAGCUUUCACCCCCGUGGAAACUGUCGUGUUUCUCCCGAUUCCCCACUGCAUUGAAACAGUUAGAAAGAAUGCUGUUCUGCUUCGGUGGAUCCCUGUGCAUGGCUUCUCCCCGUCAGUCACAGCGAUGCCGCCCGAGCCGCUCCCUGGCAAGCUGUCCACCCUCCCUGUGCCCUGGCCACACUGGCGUGGCCUUCUGUGUCCAGGGGAUUGAACUUGGGUCCAUGCACUUGUAAGGCAGGCGCCAGAACCACUGAGCUAAAUUCCCGGCCCCAGAGCACUCUUCUUGUUUGAUAGUGGGGAUCUGUUUCCCCCACUGACAAGUCUAAGACAAGGACCUCAUCUGCUCCCACCGUGUCCCUGUGCCCAGCACAGCACAGAAUUGAAGGUCCUGCAUCCUCAGAGACGCCCCACAUCCGUGGAACGUCCAGGUGCUUGGCUUGUCAGAGAGAGCACUUUGACGGGAAUAAGACUACAGGUGUCUUCCCUCUUGCAUGGUGAGGGGCUGAGGAGCAGGACCAGGAGCCAUCCCAAGCUGUCACAGUGAGUAGGUGGGCCAGCCCUGGCGCUAGAGAUGGGCUUGGGAUGUUACGGUCUAGAUCUGGGGUGUUUGCCACAUGACUGGACAUGGGGUGCAAUACUCACUGGUGGAUUAGUGCAUGGAUGGGUUCACCCUGGAGUUGCCCUCAGGAGGCGGAGUCUGGUUGGGGGCGGUCCCUGGGGCGUGGCCUGGAAGGGUUCAUCUCCCUCCGCGGCUCCCCCUUUUGUACCCACUUCUGGCUGCCAUGGGUGAGCUGCUCUUCCACAGCCCCUCGGCCAUGCCUUCCUCCCCUGCAGCCGGCCGGCCAUGGACCGUAACGGCUCCUCCUUUAAGUUGCUCGAGUCAGUAUUGCAUCCCAGCGGUGGUGGGUGCGAGGACUACUCAGAAGCCACGCCAGCCUAGCGUGGUGGGCAGUAUCCUGACAUACACACGGCCAGCUGUGAACCCAGAAAUACCCCCUGGGCAGGAUGCUUCUGCACACUCCAGCUCCUCUGUGGCCAGAUCCCCAAAAUACGCAUUCCCAUUUCAGUGCCACCGGACAUAAGGAAAGUAGGAGGAAGAGAAAGCAUUAUGAUAUCUUCCAAUUCCUUAUUUAAAAUAGAAGAUACAUAUUAGUCUGCAGCCCAGAGCUGAGGGUGCACCUGAGCCUAGAAGGAGCCUGCCCAGGUGAGCUGAUGCAGCUGUUGACCGGCCUCUGGGGUCUCACCCACCCUGGGGUCUGGGGACUGUCUCACUCCAGAACAGGCACGAGGGCGGCAGGGGUGACUGACCCAGUGGGGUGCUAGUAAGAGAAGUGAGUGAUGACGUAUUGCAGGGAUCAGCAAGCAAUGAGCACAGGCCAGCUCAGCCCCAUCCCGUUUUUGUAAAUAAAGUUUUAUUGGAACAC
ensembl:lncRNA